AUUGAACGCUAGCGGGAUGCUUUACACAUGCAAGUCGAACGGCAGCGCGGACUUCGGUCUGGCGGCGAGUGGCGAACGGGUGAGUAAUGUAUCGGAACGUGCCCAGUAGCGGGGGAUAACUACGCGAAAGCGUAGCUAAUACCGCAUACGCCCUACGGGGGAAAGCAGGGGAUCGUAAGACCUUGCACUAUUGGAGCGGCCGAUAUCGGAUUAGCUAGUUGGUGAGGUAACGGCUCACCAAGGCGACGAUCCGUAGCUGGUUUGAGAGGACGACCAGCCACACUGGGACUGUGACACGGCCCAGACUCCUACGGGAGGCAGCAGUGGGGAAUUUUGGACAAUGGGGGCAACCCUGAUCCAGCCAUCCCGCGUGUGCGAUGAAGGCCUUCGGGUUGUAAAGCACUUUUGGCAGGAAAGAAACGUCGCGGGCUAAUACCCCGUGGAACUGACGGUACCUGCAGAAUAAGCACCGGCUAACUACGUG
rnacentral:rRNA from 1 species